rnacentral:tRNA from 1 species
CCGUAGCUCAGUUGGAUAGAGCAACAGCCUUCUAAGCUGUGGGUCGCGGGUUCGAAUCCCACCGG